CACAUGCAAGUCGAGGGGUAACAGGGAGUGCUUGCACUCAGCUGACGACCGGCGCACGGGUGCGUAACGCGUAUGCAAUCUACCUCUUACUGAGGGAUAGCCCAUGGAAACGUGGAUUAAUACCUCAUAGUAUUAUAGACUGGCCUCAGUUUAUGAUUAAAGGUUACGGUAAGAGAUGAGCAUGCGUCCUAUUAGCUAGAUGGUAAGGUAACGGCUUACCAUGGCUACGAUAGGUAGGGGUCCUGAGAGGGAGAUCCCCCACACUGGUACUGAGACACGGACCAGACUCCUACGGGAGGCAGCAGUGAGGAAUAUUGGACAAUGGGCGAGAGCCUGAUCCAUCCAUGCCGCGUGCAGGAAGACGGCCCUAUGGGUUGUAAACUGCUUUUACAGAGGAAGAACCCUCCUUACGUGUAAGGAGCUGACGGUACUCUAUGAAUAAGGAUCGGCUAACUCCGUGCCAGCAGCCGCGGUAAUACGGAGGAUCCAAGCGUUAUCCGGAAUCAUUGGGUUUAAAGGGUCCGUAGGCGGGUCUAUAAGUCAGUGGUGAAAGUCUGCAGCUUAACUGUAGAACUGCCAUUGAUACUGUAGACCUUGAAUUAGUAUGAAGUGGUUAGAAUGUGUAGUGUAGCGGUGAAAUGCAUAGAUAUUACACAGAAUACCGAUUGCGAAGGCAGAUCACUAAUACUAUAUUGACGCUGAUGGACGAAAGCGUAGGUAGCGAACAGGAUUAGAUACCCUGGUAGUCUACGCCGUAAACGAUGGUUACUAGCUGUCCGGCCUAAUUGAGGG
rnacentral:rRNA from 1 species